CAGUAGCCGCGGGAAUACGAAGGGUGCAAGCGUUAAUCGGAAUUACUGGGCGUAAAGCGCACGCAGGCGGCUUGGUAAGUUAGAGGUGAAAGCCCGGAGCUCAACUCCGGAAUUGCCUUUAAGACUGCCGAGCUAGUAGGUGAGAGAGGUAAGUGGAAUUCCGAGUGUAGAGGUGAAAUUCGUAGAUAUUCGGAAGAACACCAGUGGCGAAGGCGGCUUACUGGCCCAUUCUAGACGCUGAGGUGCGAAAGCGUGGGGAGCAAACAGGAUUAGAUACCCCAGUAGUCCCUGUCUCUUAUAC
rnacentral:rRNA from 1 species